UACAGGACCCUGGUAAAUGCCUGUACCUCAGCACUGCCUCUUUGAAAACUGGGAUAAUCAGUUGACCAGGUCGUCUCAUGGGAACGUGAGGAUGGCUAAAUAGUCAAGAUUAUGCAUUCUUCUGGGACAACAGUCAGGAAGAGCUUGCAAAGAGUUAAUGCUUCCUUUUCCAUCUGGGAUGAGACUAUCUGUGCAGUAUUUGGGAAUCCUCACGCAAAUUCAAGUGGUUACCCCUGUCUGCAUAAAGGAGACAAAGACCUUCACAAGCUGAGCUACUGAGAGUAAGAGAGACUUGUCUAAAUGUUUCUUAACCUUCUCUUUGUCUACACCUGCAGUUGUAAACCACAGUAAGCACUAAUUCAGUUAGAAAAGCCAACAGCUGAUAACCAGUUGCCAAAAGGAACCUAGCUGCUAAUGUAAACACGGCUGAAAUCUUAUGAUAUUAUCUAAGAACUUAUUUGAGGGAAGUUCUUAAGCAUCCCUUCUUAUCAACUUUCCUUAGACCCAGGUCAAAGGUUUCUCUUCUACCAUAAAUUAGCAUCUUUAAUGUAUAUUAUAAGUGUUUU